rnacentral:rRNA from 1 species
ACGGGAGGCAGCAGUCGGGAAUAUUGCGCAAUGGAGGAAACUCUGACGCAGUGACGCCGCGUAUAGGAAGAAGGUUUUCGGAUUGUAAACUAUUUUAGGCAGGGAAGAUACGAGACAGUACCUGUAGAAUAAGCUCCGGCUAACUACGUGCCAGCAGCCGCGGUAAUACGUAGGGAGCAGGCGUUAUCCGGAUUUAUUGGGUGUAAAGGGUGCGUAGACGGGAAUUUAAGUUAGUUGUGAAAUCCCUCGGCUCAACUGAGGAACUGCAACUAAAACUGGACUUCUUGAGUGCGGGAGAGGAAAGCGGAAUUCCUAGUGUAGCGGUGAAAUGCGUAGAUAUUAGGAGGAACACCAGUGGCGAAGGCGGCUUUCUGGACCGUAACUGACGUUGAAGCACGAAAGUGUGGGGAGCAAACAGGAUUAGAUACCCUGGUA